GCUCUCGUUCGUUGUGCUCGUAAAUUUGUUGGUGACCAAGCGCCUUGGGAGCCCAGUGUCAGUUCAAUGGGCCAUUUGGGGAAUCUGUUUGUUCGUACAGACAUCCAUAAAUACGCACAUGUUUGUGUUUAAUUAAAAUGGGCAUUAGGUUGUUGGGCUAGUGCCUGCUCACACAAAUAUAUGUAAAAAUACAUCAUUUGAUUCGGAGAUGGAUAAGCAAAUACUGUGCAGAACUCCAACUUGUCGUAAACUCAAGGAGCGCAGCAAGGACAUCGUUGGAAACCGCAACCCUUGGAUAAAACGGGGCAGUCAUUGAAGGGAAAUCCGGGCAUUGAACACUUCAUUUAGCAAGUUUAAAUUGAAGUGAAAAUUGCGGUUGGUCGGGAACCCAACACUGCUAGCAAACUUCGAAAAAAGUUGAAUGUUUAUAAGAAUACAACUUUCUUGUAAUAAUUUGUUUUUUCUCAGGCCCCAAAUUUGCUAUAUGAAGUGUAAAAGUACUACCAACCUGUAACGACAAAAGCAACAUCAACCAUCGAUUAUGGUAGGCAACCUCUCAAACCAGACUUUUAGCCAGGAUAGAAAGGAAAGCUGAAAUAGACGGCGUUUGUUAGUCGCCCGCUGGCUGUCAUGCGGUCUUUUUUAAGUGCUUUACGGUUUAUUUUCGGGACAAUUUCGGGACACGGUGGACGGAAUUUUCGGAGGGGUGUCAGCCACUUGAUAAUGACGAUGACAACGACUACGACAUUGGCAACUCUGUUGUCAUAGGCGACUGUAACUGCUGCCAAACACACAAACGUGGCCUCUUAUGUCCUGUGGCUCGAAAAACGUAGCAGCCCCUCGAGUGUUUCAAUUGAAUUUGAAACAAGUUUCGAAUUGUUCGCAUUGGCCAAAGAGCUCCCUAGUGCUAUUGACUUUGUGUAAUGCUGAUCAGAAAUCGAUGGUAUUAGUGUUGUGCCCGGAUUAUAUUCUGCCUAAAUGCUAAAUCCUUGGUAGUAAAGAAAUAGAGAGUAAAUAUAUAAAUAAAUAGUUUAAUCCUGCCUGUCUAGCAUUUAUUUUAUGGAGCAACAUAAGCCCUCAUGAACUCAACACCUCACACAAAGUUAGCAACAUGACAAAGGGCAUAAUGCACUUCUUAACAGUGGAUUAUACUUGGGGGAAUCUAUAGAAGACUAUAACCACAGCCAUAAACCACUUUUAUCAUGGCCCUGCACAAAGAUUCUCACUCCUCAGAUCGACCGUUCACCACCCGCCCAACAUUACUAGCCAUCCUUAUUUCGCCUGCCCGACUUACUUUGCCGAAUCUCCGUCUCUUCCCCUUUUGGCCAAGUGGGGCAGGAAACUCCUUUCUGCUUAUCUGUCGUCUCGCUCUGGCAAAAGGCAAUGCCAAAAUUUCAAACCAACCGGGCAAGUAAAUAUUUCCAGUUUUCGGCCACAAAUGCAAUUGGGCUUGAUGAUAUUUGUUGCUUCCGUUUUGGUUUGCAGUUGAGGAAAUGAAGCUUAUGCAGUUAUUUUCUGUGCUACACUGUUGUCUUAAAUUGGUAAAGGUAUUUAUUUAUUUCACAAAUAUUAGCCAAGAUAAAUAUUGGCCUUGCUUUAAGCUGACUAAUUUUUGGGCUGUGCUAUCUUUUCUGUUUAUGCUAAUACUUAAACGUAUAAUUUUCGCUAGAAAUUGCUAUUUUUUACGGUUUACAACGUUACUUUCAGCUGGCUUGGCCCAACACUCUAUUUUGUCAAUCACUAUCAGUUAGGCCAUAAGUUCCAAGUGUCGUAACCAGUUUUCUGC